GGAAAGAAUAUUUAUGGGCGAAGUCAAAUAGUGAUCCAGGAGAAGAAGGGUAUAAAAUCAUGUUCUUUGUUCGCUUUGUACGGGUGAAUUAGGUCCAAUGUGGCCUUCACCAUUUAUAAAGUAUGUGUGGUUUCAAGCCGAGAACUUGGUCACUUCCUGCUAAGCUCAGGUGCAACUCUGCAGGUUUCCGGGCAAGAUAACAGCAGUAGAAGGAUUUGAA
rnacentral:misc_RNA from 1 species